AUUGAACGCUGGCGGCAUGCCUUACACAUGCAAGUCGAACGGUAACGGGCCUUCGGGUGCCGACGAGUGGCGAACGGGUGAGUAAUGUAUCGGAACGUACCUUUCAGUGGGGGAUAACGUAGCGAAAGUUACGCUAAUACCGCAUAUUCUGUGAGCAGGAAAGCAGGGGAUCGCAAGACCUUGCGCUGAUUGAGCGGCCGAUAUCCGAUUAGCUAGUUGGUGAGGUAAGGGCUCACCAAGGCGACGAUCUGUGGCGGGUCUGAGAGGAUGAUCCGCCACACAGGAACUGAUACACGGUCCAGACUCCUACGGGAGGCAGCAGUGGGGAAUUUUGGACAAUGGGGGCAACCCUGAUCCAGCCAUGCAGCGUGAGUGAAGAAGGCCUUCGGGUUGUAAAGCUCUUUCGGCCGGGAAGAAAUCGUAUCAGCUAAUACCUGAUGCGGAUGACGGUACCGGCAUAAGAAGCACCGGCUAACUACGUGCCAGCCGCCGCAGUAAUAC
rnacentral:rRNA from 1 species